rnacentral:lncRNA from 10 species
AUUCCUUACCCCAUCACCAAGGGAGACAAUCACAGUCUCAUUCAGUUGCUGCAUCAAGCUUGAAGUCCACAAAUUACAGAAAAGGGGUCCCAAUCCAGACCCCAAGAGAGGGCUCUUGGAUCUCACGCAAGAAAGAAUUCAGGGUGAGUCCAUAAAGUGAAAGCAAGUUUAUUAGAAAAGUAAAGGAAUAAAAGAAUGUCUACUCCAUAGACAGAGCAGCCCCAAGGCAUCUUGGCUGAUACAGAUUACCUUGGACUUUCUUUUCCAUGUGGCUGGUUUUUGCCUACGACUGAAGGUUCUUCCUAUUUUUUCCCAUGACUGAUGAUGUUCAUUCAUAUUUAACAACAAAAACCUGGGUGACUGGUGUAGCUUUCUUCUGCCAUUGUGAAGUUUGAUGGCAUGUCUUUAUAUCAUGGCCAUGGGCAGGACUUGGAAAAAGUUUUACCACUAAAGCAUCUAUGAACUCAAGAAAGAAAACACUGGCUAUGUACAAUGAUGACUGUGAUCUUUUAAAUUUAUCUCAAAUAGCGAACCUACCAGUCAUAGGCAGUUCCCAAAUAUCUACAUGAGAACAGCACAGCAACAACAAUCUACUGGGAAAUCAACCUGGAGAUGUGUUUACACGGCUCAACUAUGUAAGAGUGAAUAAAGAUCAUUUGUCCAUAGCAAAGAACACCGGAGAGGAAGUCGCUCCUGUAGAUCACGGGAGUCGGUGAGUCAUUACUGGAACAAACUAGCUGGACAUGUGAAUAUGGACUGUUUUUUUGUUGGUGGUGGUUUUUUUGGUUUGUUUGUUUUGGUUUGGUUUUUUUGAGACAGAGUUUCGCUCUUGUUGCCCAGGCUGAAGUGCAAUGGCAAUCUCGG